UUGCUUGCUUGAGGAGAAAUUGUGCAGGUUUGUCCCAGGGCAUUGGUUUUCCCUUUCAUAUCAUGUAUAGCUCCAUGGUGAUGCUUCCUGCUCCUGUUUCUUUCACUUCCUCUUCAUCAAGCCUCCUUUCAGAUAUAGUUCAUUCACAUUUACAUUAAGCUCUCUAAAAUUGUAGUUACUGGAUGCAUACAAAACUCUGAGGUGCCAUAUACGGCAGGGAAAAUAAAUGUUGCUGUGCUUUAUUACAAAGAACAAGGAGCAAAGACAAGGGCAUGGGAUAAAUAAGGAUAUAUACAUAUCGGCUAUUCUCCUGCAGGAACUUACCAUUUGCAAAUGUGACUCACCAAGCAAAAGGAUAUAGUGGUCAGCGUGUAGAAUACUGUGGGCAGAACUGUGGUGAGAAAUACAAAAAGGAACAAGUAAAUCCCUGAAUCCAGAAUGGAAAUGAUACACUUCUUGAAAGAGGAAAAAGAACAAAUUCUUUAAGUUACCACUACUUUCCAAAAGUGUGAUGGGUGACUAAGCAGAAACUGAUGCUGCACACAGUGAACAAAAAGACGUGGUCCUUGGUCUCAGAACUCACAGUAUAUUGGACUGUAGCUAACAAAAUCUUUUUCAGGGGCACCUGGGUGGUUCAACGGUUGAGCGUCUGCCUUCAGCUCAGGGAGUGAUCCUGGUCCCGGCAUCAAGUUCCGCAUCUGGGGCUCCCUUUGAGGAGUCUGCUUCUCCUACUGUCUAUGUCUCUGUGUCUCUCAUGAACAAAUAUAUAUAUUUUUUCACACUACACUUAUAUAUGCAAAGGAAAAUGUCUUCUUUAAUUCACUAUAACUAAAAUUAUCCUUAUUGUUAGCUCCCAACCCUCUGACAAGGGGCAGGGACGUUUUAGAGUUAAGUUGAAAGUAGAUGAAUUCUGAUCUGGUCAUCUCAGCCAAGUUCAGCAAUUUGGAUUAUCUUUUGGAAGUUGAUUUCUGCCUAGAUGAUUCAGUUAAAAGUACAUCUUUUCAGAAGUAUUCCCAUUUUCACUUUGCCUUUUUAAGAUGUUAUCUGAGUAGAUGAGGGGAUGGCGAAUAUGCCUAGGUUAUAACCAAAUGAAAUUUAAGGGUGGAAGCUACUGAGAUCUAGUCAAGAUUCUUGGGAUCAUUGCUAGUCUUUGCAGAGGUGUGAUAGAUGUUCUUAGAAGUGUGAUAGAGGUGUGAUGAUCUAUGUUCUUAAUUUAGACUAUGCUCCUCUUAAAUCAUCCAUGUCCUUUAGUUGACUGCUUCUACUGAUACUCCUAUAAUAUGCCCUGAUUUCUCUUUAGCACCUGGUCCAGGAGCCCCAUCCAUCAACCCCCAUUCCCAGGGGCAUUUAAUCUACAACAUCUGCUUCUAAUAGACAAGCAGACAAGGCUAAUAGCCACAUUACCUGCCUUAUUUACACACACACACACACACGGAUCAUAAUGAAACUAAUAGGUUAUUUUCCAACUAUAGAGAGCCAAAAGAGGCUUAGGAGGGCUGAAUAGGCCCUUAUCUUCUCCCUAAAUAAUCUAAGCCUGCUUUAGUACAAUCCCAUGAAAAGGACAUGCCUGUUAAAGACCCAAGUAGAAAAUGAAAUAAAAGACCUUUUGUCCUUGAGAAAUUGAGAAUCCUCCUAACAGGACUCUCUUCCCUGGAACUCAGGCCGGAAGUGGUCAGAAAAUGCAGGUCAACACAUCUUUAUUCCCACAGGUUAUCUUAUUGGAAAUUGAGGCCUUUUCUUCUUGUUCGCUUCAUGGUUCUGACAUAUCAGGGUAAAAAAAAUAGCUAAAAUAAAGUUCAUUCACCUGCCUCUAGAUAUAUUAAAAGAAGAUAAUAAAUUUUUAAAAUUUUUCUCUCAAGAGGCCUUUUUUAUCACUAUUUUCUAGUUAGAGUGAUCACAAAUUUAAGAGAUAAGACUCAAAGCUGAUUAAUGCUUGUUCCUCAUGCUUCCCACCUUCUUCCUUCCCCAGGGCAGUAAAUCUCACUGCUCUGACUUGGAGAUAGGGAAUUGCAAAUGAUAAUAAAAAGGAGAUUAAGAAAAUAAUAUUCCCCAAACAUCAUACAGUUUUAUUUGCAGCCACCUCCUCUGCAAAAUGGAGUUAAUAACAGUGCUUACCUUAGGAUACAUUCAAAUUAAUUAGUGUCAUACCUGGUAGUUAAUAGUUUUAUAGUAAGCAAAGUAGAAAAUGAGACCAUUUGCUGAAACCUAGUGGAAAUGGAGGUACUACUUGACAAAAGUGGAAAUUAUAGAAUUAUUUUUGAGGAAAUAAUAAAGGACAAAAGAGCUGUGAAAAAUGUGGCUAUUGAGUAACCUGAGGGAUCUGUUGAAAUCUGACAUAAUGACUGUAUAGCACAGAUCAAGGUUUUAUAGUCUUUGCAUCUCCUCCAUAUACUUUACACAUGAAAAAGAACAAAGAAAUAAUUUGGUGAUAGAUGCCUAGGUUUUGGAAACAGAUCACAAUCACUAGGGAAAUUCAAGUAGGAUGCAGGGGCCGUAGAGUAUUACUGGAAGAGAACAUAUAAUUAACUGAUUCUGGAGUGGUAAGAGAACAAGUGAAGCCAGAAAAAUUCUAUGUCAUAUUUUAAUCCAGUCCAUUUUGGGAUUUGGGGACAUUGAGAACAACUGUUCUUUGUCACUAAUUUAUAUUUUAUGGAUUGUGGUGAGGAUUGGGAACAAAAAUGGUCCAAGUCUCAAAAUUCCCUGCAGGCUGCUCUAGUCUGAACCAGGAGAACGGAAUCAGAACUGUAGGACUAGGUGGCAAAUUUGUGCUGGUGGCACUUUCCAGAAGAGAACAUGGAUCAGAAGUUUCCUGUGUUUCCUCUGAGCCUUGUAGUGAUUGUUGUCGUUGAUCAUAUAUUAAGAAGGUGUUGUGUGUACAUAAGCAUAUUCAUAGAAUAAACAGUCUCCAGAAAUCA